CCCUUAGAUGUUCUGGGCCGCACGCGCGCUACACUGACGAAUGCAACGAGCUUAUAACCUUGGCCGAAAGGUCUGGGUAAUCUCCAAAUUUCGUCGUGAUGGGGAUAGAUUAUUGCAAUUAUUAAUCUUCAACGAGGAAUGCCUAGUAAGCGCAAGUCAUCAGCUUGCGUUGAUUACGUCCCUGCCCUUUGUGCACACCGCCCGUCGCUCCUACCGAUUGAAUGGUCCGGUGAAGCGCUCGGACCGCGGCCUCUUGACGGUUCGCUGUCGAUUGGCUGUGGGAAGUUCGUUAAACCUUAUCAUUUAGAGGAAGGAGAAGUCGUAACA
rnacentral:rRNA from 1 species